rnacentral:rRNA from 1 species
GAUGAACGCUAGCGGCAGGCUUAAUACAUGCAAGUCGAGGGGCAGCAGGACUGUAGCAAUACAGUUGCUGGCGACCGGCAAACGGGUGCGGAACACGUACGCAACCUACCCAUAACUGGGGAAUAGCCCGGGGAAACCCGGAUUAAUACCUCGUAACCUGGUGAAGUGGCAUCACUUUAUCAGUAUAGCUCCGGCGGUUAUGGAUGGGCGUGCGCCUGAUUAGGUAGUUGGCGGGGUAACGGCCCACCAAGCCUGCGAUCAGUAACUGGGGUGAGAGCACGACCAGUCACACGGGAACUGAGACACGGGCCCGACUCCUACGGGAGGCAGCAGUAAGGAAUAUUGGUCAAUGGACGCAAGUCUGAACCAGCCAUGCCGCGUGAAGGAUGAAGGUCCUCUGGAUUGUAAACUUCUUUUAUAGGGGACGAAACCCGGGUAUUCUUACCCGAUUGACGGUACCCUAGGAAUAAGCACCGGCUAACUCCGUGCCAGCCGCCGCCGUAAAAC